GGGCAUUCCUGCUUUGGACCUAUUUUGGGAAGAGCCGAAGGGAAACGGUGACCGAGGCUGAUAUGGAGCAGUGAGCUGGUGGCAUUUGCUUGUGCCAGCAGGCUGAUAAGGCCAGGAGGUGCCAGCCAGCACCUCCACAGCUCCCAGAGCAGGUGGGGACACCCUGAGCACCGGGAUGCCACCCCAGGAACAUCCAGGGUGUCCUGCAGGUGCCAGGGACCUUCCUCGAGGCUGGGAGAGCUCGGCAGGCUCGGGAGAGAGGAGAGGAGUUUGGAAGGGAUGAGAAGGGGAAGGAUUUGUGAGGGAGGCACUGUGGUGUCUGGGAACAGGACUCCCGGGAGAUGGGAACUCUGUGGCUGGGGACAGGGACUGUGAUUGAUCCUGGUGCUCUGCAGGCAGGGAAAGGGCACAGCGAGCCAAGGCGGUUCAGGAGGGAUGGAAAAAGGAGAAUAAGCAAAGGGCCCGAGGCUUUAUGAACUAUAAACACUGCCAUGGAGGAGCUUCGUAUUCAAAAUAAGCAAAGGCAAAUUAAAGGAGGGAAUUAGGGGUCUCUUCCAGCCUGGUUAUUCUGUGAUUCUGGCAAGGACGUGCAGGAAGCCAAGUGUCAGCUCCCUCCACGUGUGCCCAACAGGUUCCAGGAGGUGCUGAGGCACUCCCAGGCCCUGAGCUGCCAUUCCAGGGCUGCCUCCUUCCCUGGGCUGGGUCCAUCCAUCCCUCAUCCCUGCCAGCUCUGCUGCUGGAGCUGCAUCCAUCCUCCCCAGCUCCCUUCCUGCCUCCCUUAUCAGCCUGCACUCCUCCUAAUCCCAUCUCAGCCCUCCCCAGAGCGCUGAGAUAAGAGGCAGCCUGGAAAGGCUGAUAAAAAGGGACCCAACAAAUCCAUUAAAUGCUGUUUUCCGUGCCAGGAAUUACAAAUCCCAGCCCUUGGGAAUUAGGGCUCUGCCAGCCCAGCAAAGCCAAGGGAGGGAAGUCAGGGUCACUCAAAUAUAUCCUGAGGGGGGAAAAAAAAAAAAAAAGCACCACCUGGAGGACCAGGACAUUUUGGAUAAUUUGCCAGGUGUGGCAUUGAGGGGCUGUUUGGGGACAGACAUGGCACAAAGUGCUCAAAUCAAUGCCAGUACAGCCCAAACCAGUAUGACCAGUGGCUAUCCCUGCCCUCUGGCAGUGGGAGCCAUUCCCUGGGUCCUGUCCCUCCAUCCCUUGUCCCAAGUCCCCCUCCUGGUGCCUCUUCAGGCCCUGGAAGGGCUCUGAGCUCUGCCUGGAGCUUCUCCUCUCCAGUGAACCCCCCCAGAGCUCCAGAGGGGCUCCAGGCCCUCCUCUGGACUCUCUCCAGGUCCUUCUGCAGUUGUCCCAGAGCUGGAGGAGCUCUGCAGGUGGGGUCUCACCUGGGCAGGGCAGAAUCCCCCCUCCCCUGCUGUGGGGUCAGCCCAGGUCACCACUGGCUUCCCCAGGUGAAACCCCAAACCCACCCAGGAAACCCCAAAUCACAGGAAAAAAGUCAAAUCCAGGACAUUUUGUCAAGGUUCUACAUCAGAGAGUGAGGAACAACUCAUCAGGAUAACUGGGACACGUUUUGAUUGUGACCUCUGGAAAAAACUUCCCUUGUAUAAAUGGGGAUUAAUGGACAUUUCAAAAGACAGCGGCUUUAGCUUAACCCCUCCCCUCCAUGUUUUCCUUGGGAUGGGACCUAAGGGAUGCAAAAACAACGUAAGAACUAAAAAAUACUAACAAAAUAAAUAAAUCCAGAUGCUCAUCCAACCAACAGCCUCCCUGGGACAGAUUCAGAUUCGAUUUCAAUUGAUAUCUUCUAAAAUCACAAAGCCUUUCUCAGGAAAAACAAACCACGGCCACUUCAGAGAAAAACACGGGAAAAACUGCCCAGGAUCUCCCAAUUUCUGGGAGGCAGAGGCAGGAAAACAGGUCAGGAGCAGAGCACUGAGCACGGUAUCACUGAGUACCUGGAAUCCCCUAAAUCACGGGAUUUUCUGCUUUUUCAGCAGAUUUUUUCUUUUUUUUUUUGGUCUCCUGAUGUUGGUUGGGAUUUUCCAGCCCACCCUGGAGGGAGGUUGUGGGUCCUUCUCCCUCCUGGAAGUGAUGACAAGGUGCUCGGUCUUCUCCAGCUGCCCAAAGGAAAUGGGCAGCUGGAGAAAUUAGGAAAUGGCCCUAAUUAAGUUUGAUGGAUGGGGACUGGGGAUUAUUCCUAAUCUCCCUGCAGCAGCCAGAGCAGAAAGGAAAUUUCACACAAGAAUUCAACUGCAAACGCUGCAACUGCACAGCACGUGCAUGGC
rnacentral:lncRNA from 1 species